AUCAUCAGAGCCUGACACGAGAAUAUCACCGUGUGCAUUGAAGCUGACGGUGUUCACACAACCUCUAUGCCGGUCAAGCUUUUUGUGGAUCCCUAGGCGCAGAACAAGAUCCUCAGAUGCGCCGACUCGAUUCGCGAAGAUCCUCGGCGAGAGGCCCCCCACCUCCCGCUCCCACAAAUCCACAAUGCUCCUCCUCCGCUUGCCGAGCAACGUCAUGAUCGCCGCCGAAG
rnacentral:misc_RNA from 1 species